GAUGAACGCUGGCGGCGUGCCUAAUACAUGCAAGUCGAGCGAAUGGAUUAAGAGCUUGCUCUUAUGAAGUUAGCGGCGGACGGGUGAGUAACACGUGGGUAACCUGCCCAUAAGACUGGGAUAACUCCGGGAAACCGGGGCUAAUACCGGAUAAUAUUUUGAACUGCAUGGUUCAAAAUUGAAAGGCGGCUUCGGCUGUCACUUAUGGAUGGACCCGCGUCGCAUUAGCUAGUCGGUGAGGUAACGGCUCACCAAGGCAACGAUGCGUAGCCGACCUGAGAGGGUGAUCGGCCACACUGGGACGGAGACACGGCCCAGACUCCUACGGGAGGCAGCAGUAGGGAAUCUUCCGCAAUGGACGAAAGUCUGACGGAGCGACGCCGCGUGAGUGAUGAAGGCUUUCGGGUCGUAAAACUCUGUUGUUAGGGAAGAACAAGUGCUAGUUGAAUAAGCUGGCACCUUGACGGUACCUAACCAGAAAGCCACGGCUAACCACGUGCCAGCCGCCGCGGUAA
rnacentral:rRNA from 1 species